AGCAGCCGCGGUAAUUCCAGCUCCAAUAGCGUAUAUUAAAGUUGUUGCAGUUAAAAAGCUCGUAGUUGAAUUUCGGGAUCAGCAGGUUGGUCGUGCCUCUGGUAUGCACUGGUUUCGCUGAUUCCUCCUUUCUGAAGAACUGUAAUGUCAUUAAUUUGGUGUUGCAGGGAAACAGGACUGUUACUUUGAAAAAAUUAGAGUGUUUAAAGCAAGCUAACGCUUGAAUACAUUAGCAUGGAAUAAUGAAAUAGGACGUUUGAUCCUAUUUUGUUGGUUUCUAGGAUUGACGUAAUGAUUAAUAGGGAUAGUUGGGGGCAUUAGUAUUCAAUUGUCAGAGGUGAAAUUCUUGGAUUUAUUGAAGACUAACUACUGCGAAAGCAUUUGCCAAGGAUGUUUUCAUUAAUCAAGAACGAAAGUUAGGGGAUCGAAGACGAUCAGAUACCGUCGUAGUCUUAACCAUAGACUAUGCCGACUAGGGAUCGGAUGAUGUUAAUUUUUUAAUGACUCA
rnacentral:rRNA from 1 species